rnacentral:lncRNA from 1 species
GCAUCGGUCUCCUAAUUCUUUACGCAAUUAAACAUCUUUAAAGAGGCUUUUCUAACUAUGAAAUGGCCCGCACUAUCACCCGGACAUUGUUCUAUGACCAUCGUUUUAAGAACAUAACAACCAGAUAAAAGCAAGAGGACAAAUUUAUCCCUAAGGUACUUCAAUGAUAGAAGAGCCAAAUUUUUUAGAGAUGUGUAUUAGAAUGUCUCAUAUCGGCUGGGACUAAGAUCUUUGAACAAUAUAUAAAGGAUGUGGCAAUCCUUAGCUCUAAAGUUACAUUUUGGGAUAAAUUAAGCCACAUUCCCAAUAUGGUAUCAGAGCUCAUGGUUGGCUCAACAAACAAAAUUUCCAAAAAAUGGUUUCCCACCUAUGUGGCCCAUACAAGUGGCAUGUCUUGUUGUAUUUCCGAGAUGUUAGGCUUAAACUGAUUUCUGUUGGAUCGUUUCACACCCACAUCUCGAGGAGGCUUAUUAGAAUAUCCAUAUUGGUUGAAAUCAACAUCUUUGGACAAUAUAUAAAGAAGGUGACAAUCCUUAACUCUAGAACUAGG